rnacentral:rRNA from 1 species
CGGGGGAAGGGAGGGCCUCCAAACGUCGAUCUAGUCGGGUUCAACGUCGUCGCUCUCCGCUCGGUCGCUCGCUGGCCCUCGAGCUGCGGCGUUGGUGGCGCAAAAAGUAAAGGCCCUCGGCACACGCACGGGACGGGUUGGUUUGCUUGCGGGUCGCGGAGGCAGUGUGAAAACGAGGGAGAGGAUCGGGUUCGUUUACUGGCACGCAAGCUGAGCUGAGUCGAGCAACCCACGGUCACGGUGGCAGGAGGGACACCGACACACAUGAACAUCACCUCGAUAUCGUUAGAUCGCACCGAUAUGAGGACCGCUACCAUCACGAUCCAUCCAUGACCAUAACCAUACCCGCCCGCCAUGCUAGUUCACGUCACAUGCUCGCUCGAACGGAGGAGAAAGGAGCCAGCUAGAGGACGACGACGUUUGUAGGGUAGGGUAGGUGGUUAGAGUAAGGGUAGCGUGCAGAGGAGGGGUCUUUCUAUACCGGGAGUCGAGGAGAAACGCGUUUCUAACUAAUUGCCUCGCGGACCGGGCCGGCCGGCGCGCGCGCCCUCGCCUCGAGGUCAUAUUUCUACCGCGUGCUAGGGUCGGAUCAUCCCAUGCGGCUGAUGAAGCGCCGCUGCCCCUCGUUGCCCCCGCCGCAGUGCGAGCACGGCCUCCACCUGCGGGCACGCCUCGUAGUCUACAUACCGCCGCCUAACGUGGUAGUAGUGAGGCCCCACCUGUACAAGCCCCGGUCCCCGAAGCCGUACCGCGGCCGGCCGCUCCGCUGCAGGCGCGUCUCGUUCCGGCGCGAACUGCAGCUGCAGCUGCCGAGCAGAUGGUAGUCGAAGAAAGCGCCGCUCGUCGUAGUGGUGGUGGUGGUCGUCGACGUCUACCCGGUCCGAGGGAACAGCGACAGCGAGGUGCCCGUCGGCCUGCGGCCCAGCAGCAGCAAGUACGACGUGGUGGUCGAGCCGCCGCCGCUCGGGGCCGACGUCGUCGUGGUCGUCUGCCGCGGCCGCCGUACCGUCCACGUUCCGCGGCCGUCGCCGACCGUCGACGCGCCCAGGGCCAAGGACGACGGCUGCGUCGUCGAGGACGUCCUCAAGACGUCGUAGGGGCGCCUGUGGCUGUCGUUCCGCGGGUUCUUCGGCCGCGUUCUUCUCGUGCCGAGCAGCAGGAGGCGGAGGACCGGCGGCAGCAGCUGCGUCUAGGUCUCGUACCUGCGGCGGCUCGACGUCUCCGAGUUCCGGUUCGACAUGUGGUACUAGCUUCUCCACCUGUCCUCCAUGUCCUCCAUGGCCCUCGUCUACGCCCGCCACCGCCGCAGGAAGCUCCGCCACCGCCCCGUCGCGCGCCGCCGCCACAUGUGCUCCUACCGCAGCGCCUGGUAGAGGUCCGUGAAGGCCUCGCACUCCCUGCCCCACCGGCGCGUCCAGGCCCGCCACGCGCCCCGCGACCCCCUCUUCCUGCGCCCCCGGCGGCACGGGCCUUACUGGUUCCCCCUCUGCGGCGCCGACGCCCGCGACCUGGUCACGGAGUCCGUCGUGUUCCGCAUGGUCAGGCCGUACGAGCUCUCGGUGGGCACCGCCGGCGUCGCGCCGGACGGCCUCGCGCGGCAGAGGCAGGAGGCUCGGACCGAGAAGCUCGUGAAGGACGUGGGCAUGGGCUCGCUGCACCUAUUCGUGUAGGACCGCGCCGUCUGCCCGGAUAGCGCCUCGGUUCAGAGGUUAACCAAGUAGUUGCGCUCCCACGCCGACACCUUCGGCUACCACCUCCUCUACAUGCGCCUCCUCUACUUCCUGUUCCUCCUCCCGUCGCCGCCGCUGCCACCGCCGGUCAGCCGCGUCGUCCGGCCUCUGGACCGCUUGGGAUUGGGCCGCCGCCCCUCGAUGCGGAGGCUCCCUGCGCCGCUCGUCUUCGGCUGGGCCCGCGUCGACGUGGUCGACGUGCUGCGGCCGAGCGACCGGAGGCAGCACUCGUAGCCGGUCUCGUGGCUGGGCGUCCCGGAGUUGAAGCCGUACUACCUGGUAGAGCUGAAGCUGCGGAUGCUCCGCCGGUGCCGGCCCAAGCCGUUGCCGCACAGCGACUGCGACCCUGAAGUCGUGGUCGUCGUCGUCGUCGUGGUGGUGCCUCCGCACUUGCAACGGCGCAAGCGGCUGCGUAGGGGCAGCAGCAGCAGACGCCGCGUACCGCCGCGGCGGCUCAAGGACAAGUACCGACCACUCCCGCGCGUGGGCAGACGAUUGCCUGUCAAGCCCCGCCCGUACCCCAGUCCGCGGCUGCAGCGCAGCGUCAUGGUGGCCCCCGACCCGCCCAAGGUGGAGGACGCGCUGGAGCGGCCCACUGGGCAGCCGAUUAGACCUGCCGUAGUGCGUUGUCAUGGUGUUACUAGUGCAUGCAUACAGGUCCCUAGUAGUACAGUACGCGGCCUCCAGGUAGCCCCUGCCUGCGCUGCUGCAGACUAUACCACUACCCCUAGCUUAACUCCUAAACCCCUUACACAUUUGCCGCCGGCCCGACCCCGACCGUACGUACCAACCAUCGAGCGCAUGCAUGCAGAACGAAUCGGCCACCCGCCGAAACCUAAAAACAUCGCGCAUCUAUGGAGAUAAAUUAAGAACCGCCCUACAGCGGCAGAUACAUACGACACAAGGUGAGGUGCCGCCGGCGCGCGCGCAGCGACAAUGGCGCCUCCGCGCCCGCAGCUAGCGGCCCGAGGCGACACACU